AAUGGGCGCAAGCCUGAUCCAGCCAUGCCGCGUGAGUGAUGAAGGCCCUAGGGUUGUAAAACUCUUUCGUGGGGGACGAUAAUGACGGUACCCCAAGAAGAAGCUCCGGCUAACUUCGUGCCAGCAGCCGCGGUAAUACGAAGGGGGCUAGCGUUGUUCGGAUUUACUGGGCGUAAAGCGCGUGUAGGCGGAUUUGUAAGUUGGGGGUGAAAUCCCGAGGCUCAACCUCGGAACUGCCUCCAAAACUACAAGUCUGGACUCAAGCAGAGGCAAGUGGAAUUGCGAGUGUAGAGGUGAAAUUCGUAGAUAUUCGCAGGAACACCAGUGGCGAAGGCGACUUGCUGGGCUUGUAGUGACGCUGAGACGCGAAAGCGUGGGGAGCAAA
rnacentral:rRNA from 1 species